rnacentral:rRNA from 1 species
AGGACGAACGCUGGCGGCGUGCUUAACACAUGCAAGUCGAACGAGAAUCUAUGGAAAGAGGGAUUCGUCCAAUUGAAAUAGAGGACAGUGGCGGACGGGUGAGUAACGCGUGAGGAACCUGCCUUUCAGAGGGGGACAACAGUUGGAAACGACUGCUAAUACCGCAUAACGCGUAGAGGUCGCAUGGCCUUUACGCCAAAGAUUUAUCGCUGAAAGAUGGCCUCGCGUCUGAUUAGCUAGUUGGUGAGGUAACGGCCCACCAAGGCGACGAUCAGUAGCCGGACUGAGAGGUUGAACGGCCACAUUGGGACUGAGAUACGGCCCAGACUCCUACGGGAGGCAGCAGUGGGGAAUAUUGGGCAAUGGGCGCAAGCCUGACCCAGCAACGCCGCGUGAAGGAAGAAGGCUUUCGGGUUGUAAACUUCUUUUGUCAGGGACGAGCAGAAGACGGUACCUGACGAAUAAGCCACGGCUAACUACGUG